UGGGGAAUUUUGGACAAUGGGCGAAAGCCUGAUCCAGCAAUGCCGCGUGUGUGAAGAAGGCCUUCGGGUUGUAAAGCACUUUUGUCCGGAAAGAAAUCCUUGGGCUCUAAUACAGUCGGGGGAUGACGGUACCGGAAGAAUAAGCACCGGCUAACUACGUGCCAGCAGCCGCGGUAAUACGUAGGGUGCAAGCGUUAAUCGGAAUUACUGGGCGUAAAGCGUGCGCAGGCGGUUUGCUAAGACCGAUGUGAAAUCCCCGGGCUCAACCUGGGAACUGCAUUGGUGACUGGCAGGCUAGAGUAUGGCAGAGGGGGUAGAAUUCCACGUGUAGCAGUGAAAUGCGUAGAGAUGUGGAGGAAUACCGAUGGCGAAGGCAGCCCCUGGGCCAAUACUGACGCUCAUGCACGAAAGCGUGGGGAGCAAACAGGAUUAGAUACCCUGGUAGUCCAGCGCCCUAAACGAUGUCAACUAGUUGUUGGGGACUUCAUUUCCUUAGUAACGUAGCUAACGCGUGAAGUUGACCGCCUGGGGAGUACGGUCG
rnacentral:rRNA from 1 species